rnacentral:lncRNA from 1 species
CAGGACACUUGUUCAGGCGUCUAGGGGACACAAAUUGGAACAGAACUUGAGCCCUCAAAAUGCUUAUACCUUAGCAAACUCAUGUGGCUCAGAGCCUUCACAACAAAGAAGGAAAGGCAAAGUCUCCUUUUUCACCUACAAAGGAUUCAUCUUCUUCUAUACCCUCUUUGUUACAGGACAGCAAUGCUUCCAAGCUAGAGGCAUUCAAGGAGUGGCCCGGAGAACAUGUCAUUCAGGGCCUGGAAGAUUUCCAUCAGCAUUCAGGGGGUCAACCGUCCUACAGAACUGUAAUACAGCCUAUGGAAACCAGUUUGAAAAUGAAAAAGUAUGCUGA